rnacentral:rRNA from 1 species
AGUGAACGCUGGCGGUAGGCCUAACACAUGCAAGUCGAACGGCAGCACAGUAAGAGCUUGCUCUUACGGGUGGCGAGUGGCGGACGGGUGAGGAAUACAUCGGAAUCUACUUUUUCGUGGGGGAUAACGUAGGGAAACUUACGCUAAUACCGCAUACGACCUACGGGUGAAAGCAGGGGAUCUUCGGACCUUGCGCGAUUGAAUGAGCCGAUGUCGGAUUAGCUAGUUGGCGGGGUAAAGGCCCACCAAGGCGACGAUCCGUAGCUGGUCUGAGAGGAUGAUCGGCCACACUGGAACGGAGACACGGUCCAGACUCCUACGGGAGGCAGCAGUGGGGAAUAUUGGACAAUGGGCGCAAGCCUGAUCCAGCCAUACCGCGUGGGUGAAGAAGGCCUUCGGGUUUUAAAGCCCUUUUGUUGGGAAAGAAAAGCAGCAGGUUAAUACCCCGCUGUUCUGACGGUACCCAAAGAAUAAGCACCGGCUAACUUCGUG